rnacentral:rRNA from 1 species
CAAUAGCGUAUAUUUAAGUUGUUGCAGUUAAAAAGCUCGUAGUUGGAUUUUGGGUCGGGGGCACCGGUCUGCCGUUCCGGUGUGCACUGGUGGCCCCUUCCUUUCUGCCGGGGACGUGCGUCGCACUUAAUUGGGUGGCGUUCGGAGUCGGCGUUGUUACUUUGAAAAAAUUAGAGUGUUCAAAGCAAGCCAUCGCUCUGAAUACAUUAGCAUGGAAUAACAUGAUAGGACUCCGGUCUUAUUUUGUUGGUUUCCGAGACUGGAGUAAUGAUUAAGAGGGACAGUCGGGGGCAUCCGUAUUUCAUUGUCAGAGGUGAAAUUCUUGGAUUUAUGAAAGACGAACUUCUGCGAAAGCAUUUGCCAAGGAUGUUUUCAUUAA